AGAUUUCCUUGAUUUAGUAAUGAUAUUGCUCAUAGAAAUUGAUAAUAUACUAUUUUAUAUUCACUCGUUCAAGUGCUGAUCUAUUUUUAAAUUGAAUAUUUAUGUAAGUAUUAUGUAUAACACGAUAUAAAUAAUUUAAGGACAUAAGAAAUUAAAAUUUCAAGUGCCAAUAUUGAUUAUUUUUCCAGUUUUAUUCAAAUAUAUUGAAAUUAAUAUGGAAACAAAAGUUCAUAAAUAUUAUUCUUAAUAACAAGAAUUGAGAUUUGGGGAUAAGUUUGAAAAGCCAUGUCAGAAGAGUAGGAUUAAAGACAAAGUAUUAAGAGUAAUUGGGCUGUUCCUGAACAAUAUUGAAUAUAAAUAUUCAAAAAUAUGAUAAACUGCAUAUCCUACUAAGUAGAUCAAUACCAAAAUUCCAUUAGAGAAAUAAGUUAAAAUUAUGUUUUACUUGUAUAAUUUUCUUGCUAUUUGUCCACCAUUAUUUGUGACUUAGAAAUUAAAUAGUCAAAAAGAA